UACGGAGGAGACAAGCGUUAUCCGGAAUUAUUGGGCGUAAAGCGUCCGUAGGUGGCCAUGCAAGUCUGCUGUCAAAGCAUGGAGCUUAGCUCCAUAGAGGCAGUGGAAACUGAAUAGCUAGAGUUCGGUAGGGGUAGCGGGAAUUCCCAGUGUAGCGGUGAAAUGCGUAGAGAUUGGGAAGAACAUCGGCGGCGAAAGCGCGCUACUGGGCCGAAACUGACACUGAGGGACGAAAGCUAGGGGAGCGAACGGG
rnacentral:rRNA from 1 species